GAAUAUACCUCAAAAAGGGUUAAAAGAAGUCUGUGGAAAGAGAUAAAAUUUAUACUAAAGUUAAUAGAAAUGUCUUAGGAGAAAAGGUGCCCCUAGAAGAAUUGAUUAAGGUACAUGGGUCUGGAGGCUUCCCAGGUGGCAUGAGCAGUAAAGAACCCACCUGCCAGUAAAGGAGAAGUGACUUCAUUUGAGAGGAGCAGCAUUCCCAGAGGAUUCAGUACUCAAGGCCCCUGGCUGUACCCCUCAGGAUAAUCAAGGACCCUCAUUUCUGAACCUGUCUUGGUGUUGUCGGUUUCCUCCUAAAUAGGUGAAUGGGAUUGAUCUAACUUUGCUCUGCUAGGUUGGUUGUUAACUCAUCCAUCUGUUUUCCAUCUUCCAAAAUUUUGUCAUGCGGAGUCCCCUCUGGUUUUCUUUUUCCUGAUGAAUAUAUAUGGUUUCUAGUCAUUUACUUUCAUUUUACUGGAGUUUAGAAAAGGGAAUAAAGGUAACAUACAUUUUAAUCUGCCAUAUGUAAUU
ensembl:lncRNA